AUCUUUCACGACAAACAAGAAGGCUCGCUUUGUGCUCAGCAUUGCCGGCAUGAUUUAUUAUAAGGAGAAUAUUUUAGCCCUGUGGAAUUAUCUUCAAUUGUACAUCAGCUAGUUGAAGAACAGAGGAUGAGAACGGCAGAAGGAGGGGUUUUAGAGAAGAAACUAAAAACACGUUUUUACAGCAGGCUUCUGGAAAUAUAAGUGACAGUUUUUUUGCUUUUGUUUUUGUUUUUUCUCUAUUCAAGUUAUAAGCAAUGCCUUGAAAAUUUGGGGUUUAGACCUAAUCUUGUUCAAUAGUCCAGAGUAUCAAAGGCUCAGGAUCGAUCCUAUAAAUGUAAGAUAAUUUAUAUGCAAUUAUAAAUAAUACUUGUUUACAGUCAGAAAGUUAGGAAAACAAAGUUUAAUUCAAAAACCUUCUUGACGGUUUCAGACUUAACAUCAGAUAAAUACCUUGCACUUUUCUCAGCUCAAUUACAACAGGAAUGUUAUUCUAUAUUUCUUGUUAAGGAUGAUCUGCCAGAUUGUGAGGCCAACCAACUCCUGCAGAUGAUUAGGGUCCAAUAAACGCAUGGACCAAAACUUAUUGCAGAAGACUUAGAUAAAUUAACAGCAAAGGUUCCAUAAAACAGACCUGGAAUGAGUCUUAGAGGCAAAUGAUGGGUCAGAAAUGUUAGAUGAUAAGGAGCAUUUGCAGAGGGCUCUGGGACUAAGUCGCCAAGUAAUUGACCUGGAAGAUGAAGAAGCAGAUCUCUGCAGAGCUAUUCAGCUAAGUAUGCAAGGCAGUUCCAGAAAUUUAUCUCGAGAUAUUCUAUAGACCUCAGGGACAAAUCUCACUUCAAAAGAGCUUUGGAAGGGAAGAGAAACCUAUUUGAAAAGCAGCAGCAGCGGCAGCGGCAGCGGCAGCGGCAGCGGCAGCGGCAGCGGCAGCGGCAGGUAGAUUCACCAGGACAAAUUUCAUAUCCAUGUGAAAGGCUGACCACAAGUUCAGGAGCAUUUGAGAGUGAUCUAGGUGAUAUGAGUGAAUAAGCCAUGUUUCAGGCAGCUGUGACCAUGUCUUUAGAAACUGUUGGAAAUAAUUUGAAAACAGAAGGAAAAAAUAUCAUUCAAAAAU
rnacentral:lncRNA from 1 species